ACACGGCUGGCGGCGUGCCUAACACAUGCAAGUCGAGCGGGGUUGAAGCGAGAGGUAACUCGAACUUCUACCUAGCGGCGGACGGGUGAGUAACGCGUGGGCAACCUGCCUCAAGGUCUGGGAUAACAGCCCGAAAGGGCUGCUAAUACCGGGUAUGCUUGUGGCCUCGCAUGGGGCUACGAGCAAAGGGGAAACCCGCCUUGAGAUGGGCCCGCGUCCCAUCAGCUAGUUGGUGAGGUAACAGCUCACCAAGGCGACGACGGGUAGCCGGCCUGAGAGGGUGACCGGCCACACUGGGACUGAGACACGGCCCAGACUCCUACGGGGGGCAGCAGUGGGGGAUCUUGCACAAUGGGCGAAAGCCUGAUGCAGCGACGCCGCGUGAGCGAAGAAGGCCUUCGGGUUGUAAAGCUCUGUCUGGAGGGACGAAGGAAGUGACGGUACCUCCGGAGGAAGCCACGGCUAACUACGUG
rnacentral:rRNA from 1 species